GGGAGCCCGUUGCGGUAAUUCCGCACGGCGGGUUCUGCGAGGGGGGACGGGUACAAGAGGUCAAUCCUCGAGGCCCGUCUCUACCCACCAU
rnacentral:ncRNA from 3 species